rnacentral:rRNA from 1 species
AACGCUAGCUACAGGCUUAACACAUGCAAGUCGAGGGGAAACGACAUCGAAAGCUUGCUUUUGAUGGGCGUCGACCGGCGCACGGGUGAGUAACGCGUAUCCAACCUGCCCAUCACUUGGGAAUAACCUUGCGAAAGUAAGACUAAUACCCAAUGAUAUCCCACGAAGGCAUCGGAAUGGGAUUAAAGAUUUAUCGGUGAUGGAUGGGGAUGCGUCUGAUUAGCUUGUUGGCGGGGUAACGGCCCACCAAGGCGACGAUCAGUAGGGGUUCUGAGAGGAAGGUCCCCCACAUUGGAACUGAGACACGGUCCAAACUCCUACGGGAGGCAGCAGUGAGGAAUAUUGGUCAAUGGGCGAGAGCCUGAACCAGCCAAGUAGCGUGCAGGAUGACGGCCCUAUGGGUUGUAAACUGCUUUUAUAAGGGAAUAAAGUGAGUCUCGUGAGACUUUUUGCAUGUACCUUAUGAAUAAGGACCGGCUAAUUCCGUGCCAGCAGCCGCGGUAAUACGGAAGGUCCGGGCGUUAUCCGGAUUUAUUGGGUUUAAAGGGAGCGUAGGCCGGAGAUUAAGCGUGUUGUGAAAUGUAGUGGCUCAACCUCUGCACUGCAGCGCGAACUGGUCUUCUUGAGUACGCACAACGUGGGCGGAAUUCGUGGUGUAGCGGUGAAAUGCUUAGAUAUCACGAAGAACUCCGAUUGCGAAGGCAGCUCACGGGAGCGCAACUGACGCUGAAGCUCGAAAGUGCGGGUAUCGAACAGGAUUAGAUACCCUGGUAGUCCGCACGGUAAACGAUGGAUGCCCGCUGUUGGCCUGAAUAGGUCAGCGGCCAAGCGAAAGCAUUAAGCAUCCCACCUGGGGAGUACGCCGGCAACGGUGAAACUCAAAGGAAUUGACGGGGGCCCGCACAAGCGGAGGAACAUGUGGUUUAAUUCGAUGAUACGCGAGGAACCUUACCCGGGCUUGAAUUGCAGAGGAAGGAUUUGGAGACAAUGACGCCCUUCGGGGUCUCUGUGAAGGUGCUGCAUGGUUGUCGUCAGCUCGUGCCGUGAGGUGUCGGCUUAAGUGC